rnacentral:rRNA from 1 species
UACAGAGGGGGCAAGCGUUGUCCGGAUUUACUGGGCGUACAGCGCGCGCAGGCGGCCGCGUAUGUGACCGGUGACAUCCUCGGGCUCAACCCGAGGCGGCCCGGUUAGACAGCGUAGCUGGAGGCAGGGAGAGGGAUGUGGAAUACCCGGUGGAGCGGUGAAAUGCGUAGAGAUCGGGUGGAACACCAGCGGCGAAGGCGGCAUCCUGGCCCUGUUCUGACGCUGAGGCGCGAUAGCGUGGGGAGCAAACGGG